GUAACUGCAGACACACACACAAAAAAAACACAAGGUAUGGCAUGACCUGAAGGGAUUCAGCUAGAUUCAAUGAUGUGGUGCCGAUGGACGACAUUGGGACACCAGUGAGAGAAAGAGCAGCAGCGUCUUAUGGACACGUGCUUGUCAAUGAGAAAUGGAGGGGGUCUGCAAUAGCUCAGGGGUUUCAGGGUUAACAGCGUAGCUGUCUUGCACAUUAGUCGGACCUGCAUCCUAAAUGUUUAACAUGGUGAUUGGAAACAACUACAAGAGAAAACUUGCUCGAAUUGGAAAUGCUACCAGCCUUCGUGGGAUCGUACUCGUGGAAAAGACCAGGAUCAGCGAACAGUAUUUUCAGUCUGUCCAGAAAUUUGUGGUGUUGGAAUUAGGAAUGACGUUACUCCCUGUUGCCGGCCAGACUGAAGCCAGCUAGUUCAUGAAGAGAGUAAAGAACAUGGUCAUAACCCCUUCGCUCUAAUUUGGCCGAGCCGGCUGUCUUUGCCAUGGUUCAGCAGAUCCCUGGGGUUGGGAAAGUAAAAGCCUUGGCCCUGCUACAGCAGUUUCCCAGCAUUCACCAGCUGAGCAACGCCACUACUGAAGAACUUGAGGUUGCCGUGGGACGGACAAUAGCACAACAAAUUAGAACUUUCUUCAUACAGACUUAACCAGCCUGCAAGAAUAAUAUGAGAUUUGCAUUUUCCAGAACACAGUUUCACCUCACCGAACUGACGUAUGAUACUACUCUACAAAGAAAUAGUUAUAAAAUAAGUAAAACAUUUUGAUGAGAAGUGGCUUUGGCUGUGUCUUUUUGAUUAAAAUUAAGCUUGCCCUCACAAUUGAAGUAGCUUAUUAUCUUACUACUAAUCCUGAAAGCUUGAUUAUUGCUGACAUUGAAAGGAAUUUGGUUGUAGUAUUUGCUGAACUGGUUUAAAAGUAUUGUGUGGGCCUUUCAUAGAUCCUUUUUAAAUAUCAGCUUGUAUGAACUUCAAAGACUGCAUUGCCCGUCUCUCCACUGCUUUGCUGGAUAAUGAGUUGUGCAGAUUGGCGAUGACAUCAUUAUGUCUGUUUCUAAAACCUUUUGUAAGCUGACCACAAGACUGAAUUUAACAUAAAUGGGAUCUGAAAGUAAUUUAA